rnacentral:rRNA from 1 species
CCUACGGGAGGCAGCAGUGGGGGAUAUUGCACAAUGGAGGAAACUCUGACGCAGCGACGCCGCGUGAGGGAAGAAGGUCUUCGGAUUGUAAACCUCUGUCUUCAGGGACGAAGAAAGUGACGGUACCUGAGGAGGAAGCCACGGCUAACUACGUGCCAGCAGCCGCGGUAAU